rnacentral:tRNA from 2 species
UGCGGGGUGGAGCAGUUUGGUAGCUCGUCGGGCUCAUAACCCGAAGGUCAUAGGUUCAAAUCCUAUCCCCGCUU